rfam:Freshwater sediment metagenome lwFormaldehyde_C1442, whole genome shotgun sequence.
CAGUGGGUGAAAGUCCCACCCGGCUAAAUCGCUCCGGCCGGAAGCAAUCGGGGCAGCUAUGGAGGUAACAAAAUAGCUGAAGCCUCCGAUGUAAGGAGUCGCUUUAGGCGAUCCAGCGAGUGUGCAGGCCGUAACGUGA